CUGGUCCAAGUUGGGAGUUGAUCCAUGGGCCUUGGACGAAGGCCGAAAUCUCUUGGGUCAUAGAGUGGAGGACAUUGCGUGAGGCUGAUUUCACAAAGCAACGACAACCUCCCACUCCUGUCAGUGGGCGGAUA
rnacentral:SRP_RNA from 1 species